UUGUCCUACGGGACGCAGCAGUGGGGGAUAUUGCACAAUGGGGGAAACCCUGAUGCAGCAACGCCGCGUGAGUGAAGAAGUAUUUCGGUAUGUAAAGCUCUAUCAGCAGGGAAGAGAAUGACGGUACCUGACUAAGAAGCCCCGGCUAACUACGUGCCAGCAGCCGCGGUAAUACGUAGGGGGCGAGCGUUAUCCGGAUUUACUGGGUGUAAAGGGUGCGCAGGCGGAUUUUUAAGUCAGCGGUCAAAUCGUGGGGCUCAACCCCAUCCAGCCGUUGAAACUGGGGAUCUAUAGUGUGCGAGAGG
rnacentral:rRNA from 1 species